UGGGGAAUAUUGGACAAUGGGCGCAAGCCUGAUCCAGCCAUGCCGCGUGAGUGAUGAAGGCCCUAGGGUUGUAAAGCUCUUUCACCGGUGAAGAUAAUGACGGUAACCGGAGAAGAAGCCCCGGCUAACUUCGUGCCAGCAGCCGCGGUAAUACGAAGGGGGCUAGCGUUGUUCGGAUUUACUGGGCGUAAAGCGCACGUAGGCGGACUAUUAAGUCAGGGGUGAAAUCCCGGGGCUCAACCCCGGAACUGCCUUUGAUACUGGUAGUCUUGAGUUCGAGAGAGGUGAGUGGAAUUCCGAGUGUAGAGGGGAAAUUCGGAGAUAUUCGGAGGAACACCAGUGGCGAAGGCGGCGCACUGGCUCGAUACUGACGCUGAGGUGCGAAAGCGUGGGGAGCAAACAGG
rnacentral:rRNA from 1 species